AAUUUGUGGUGCGGGCAAUUUUGAAUCAACACUGUGAAGUGUUCCCACACCUCAUAAAAGCCUACCCCUUCCAUCUGUCUAAAGACAUCAAUCUAUCUUCUUAAUU
rfam:Gossypium raimondii chromosome 1, whole genome shotgun sequence.